rnacentral:rRNA from 1 species
GAUCCUGGCUCAGGAUGAACGCUAGCUACAGGCUUAACACAUGCAAGUCGAGGGCAGCGAGAGGAAAGCUGCUUCCUUGUCGGCGACCGGCGCACGGGUGAGUAACGCGUAUCCAACCUUCCCCUUAGUAGGGCAUAGCCCGGCGAAAGUCGGAUUAAUACCCUAUGUUUUCCGAUGAGGACAUCUGAGCUGGAACAAAGAUUUAUCGCUAAGGGAUGGGGAUGCGUCUGAUUAGGUUGUUGGCGGGGUAACGGCCCACCAAGCCUGCGAUCAGGUAGGGGUUCUGAGAGGAAGGUCCCCCACAUUGGUACUGAGACACGGACCAAACUCCUACGGGAGGCAGCAGUGAGGAAUAUUGGUCAAUGGGCGCGAGCCUGAACCAGCCAAGUAGCGUGCAGGGAAAACGACUCGCCCUAGUGGGUUAGUAAACUGUCUUUUAUGGCGGGGAAUAAAGUGCAGCACGUGUGCUGUUUUGUAGGUACCGCAUGAAUAAGGACCGGCUAAUUCCGUGCCAGCCGCCGC